rnacentral:rRNA from 1 species
UACGUAGGGGGCAAGCGUUGUCCGGAAUUAUUGGGCGUAAAGCGCGCGCAGGCGGUUAAUUAAGUCAGGUGUGAAAGGCCACGGCUCAACCGUAGAGCUGCAUUGGAAACUGGUUGACUUGAGUGCAGGAGAGGUAAGUGGAAUUCCCGGUGUAGCGGUGGAAUGCGUAGAGAUCGGGAGGAACACCAGUGGCGAAGGCGGCUUACUGGCCUGCAACUGACGCUGAGGCGCGAAAGCGUGGGGAGCAAACAGG